CUGCUACUCCCUCUGUCCCAAAAUUCUUGUCUUAAAUUUGUCUACAUACGGAUGUAUCUAAUACUAAAAUGUGAUUUGAUACAUCCGUAUUUAGACAAAUCUAAGACAAAAAUUUUGGGACGGAGGGAGUACUUA
rnacentral:pre_miRNA from 1 species